rnacentral:rRNA from 1 species
GACGAACGCUGGCGGCGUGCUUAACACAUGCAAGUCGAACGGAAAGGCCCUGCUUUUGUGGGGUGCUCGAGUGGCGAACAGGUGAGUAACACGUGAGUAACCUGCCCUUGACUUUGGGAUAACUUCAGGAAACUGGGGCUAAUACCGGAUCGGAGCUCCCGCUGCAUGGUGGGCGUUGGAACGUUUCGGCGGUUGGGGAUGGACUGGCGGCUUAUCAGCUUGUUGGUGGGGUAGUGGCUUACCAAGCCUUUGACGGGUAGCCGGCCUGAGAGGGUGACCGGCGACAUGGGGACUGAGAGACGGCGCAGACUCCUACGGGAGGCAGCAGUGGGAAAUAUUGCACAAUGGGAGGAAGCCGGAUGCAGCAGCGCCGCGGUCGGGAUGACGGCCUUCGGGUUGUAAACCGCUUUCGCCUGUGACGAAGCGGGAGUGACGGUAAUGGGUAAAGAAGCACCGGCUAACUACGUG